ACAAUUUUCUCCCAGGAAAAUACCUACGCCCAGGAAACGGGCUGUCACUGGUCAUUGGUCACACAAAAUACGGCACUUUGCUUAAAUAUAUCGCCUCUGGAAAUUAAUCACGAAGCUUUCAAGGGGCUUUUGUCUCGUUCCCAAUUGGAACAGUAUAACACUGUAUAAAAGCUAAAAGG